AUUUACUAUCUUUAAUAUUAUUUUAUUUUUAUUUUUUAGUCUACUGAUAUUUAUGAACAACAAUUUUACAAUAUGGAUUUAAUAUCUGUGUGUAUUUUAUGUAUUUGUAUAGCUUUUAUGGUACGUGAACUUACGAAAUUAUACACUGCUAUCAAAAACGAAGAACGCGCAAAUAUAUUUACUAAAAUGUUAGAAAUGGAUCCUGAUUGCGAAGAUGUCGACAAAAACUUUAUAAUUGCAGAGCAAAGUAAAAUAAUUGAUCGGUUAAAAACUUCUAAUUCGCAUUACAAAAUAAUGGCAGAGCAUUAUAGAAAACUAUAUGUAUGGAAAAAAAACUAUAAAUAUAACGUUAUAUCAUACACAACGAACCAUUGACAACUAUAAUAAAGUGCCGUUCAAUAUUAUUGUACAAAGAAGCGAGAUGCAAACCUUUUGUGUGAAUUUUUCGGGAAACCUACAAUAUAGACCGGCGGUGGCAAACUUGCGCCUCACUAGCCGUAUGUGCCUCUCGUCAUAGUCAGAUAUGACUUGCGUCUUAUUUAUAAAAUCAAAGUUUUCUUAUUAUUGUUAUAGAUUUUUUUUUUUUUGGUAAGCGUUUAUAAAAAUUUAUCAAAUUAUAUAAAAUUCAUUUACAAACA